AGCAGCCGCGGUAAUUCCAGCUCCAAUAGCGUAUAUUAAAGUUGUUGCAGUUAAAAAGCUCGUAGUUGAAUUUCGGGAUCAAUAUGUUGGUCGUGCCUCGGUACGUACUAGCUUAUUGGUUUCUCCUUUCUGAAGAACCAUGAUGUCAUUUAUUUGGUGUCGUGGGGAAUCAGGACUGUUACUUUGAAAAAAUUAGAGUGUUUAAAGCAGGCUCACGCUUGAAUACAUUAGCAUGGAAUAAUGAAAUAGGACGUUUGAUUCUAUUUUGUUGGUUUCUAGGAUCGACGUAAUGAUUAAUAGGGAUAGUUGGGGGCAUUAGUAUUCAAUUGUCAGAGGUGAAAUUCUUGGAUUUAUUGAAGACUAACUACUGCGAAAGCAUUUGCCAAGGAUGUUUUCAUUAAUCAAGAACGAAAGUUAGGGGAUCGAAGACGAUCAGAUACCGUCGUAGUCUUAACCAUAAACUAUGCCGACUAGGGAUCGGAUGAUGUUGAUUUUUUAAUGACUCA
rnacentral:rRNA from 1 species